rnacentral:rRNA from 1 species
AGAGUUUGAUCCUGGCUCAGAACGAACGCUGGCGGCAGGCUUAACACAUGCAAGUCGAACGAGAAGCACCCUUCGGGGUGUGGAAAGUGGCAGACGGGUGAGUAACGCGUGGGAAUAUACCUAGAGGUACGGAACAACGCCGGGAAACUGGUGCUAAUACCGUAUGUGCCCUUCGGGGGAAAGAUUUAUCGCCUUUAGAUUAGCCCGCGUUAGAUUAGCUUGUUGGUGAGGUAAAAGCUCACCAAGGCGACGAUCUAUAGCUGGUCUGAGAGGAUGAUCAGCCACACUGGGACUGAGACACGGCCCAGACUCCUACGGGAGGCAGCAGUGGGGAAUCUUGCACAAUGGGCGAAAGCCUGAUGCAGCCAUGCCGCGUGUGUGAUGAAGGCCCUAGGGUUGUAAAACACUUUCAGUGGGGAAGAUAAUGACGGUAACCGUAGAAGAAGCCCCGGCUAACUUCGUGCCAGCAGCCGCGGUAAUUC